CCACUGAGGAGAGCUCCUUUUUACAGCAGGACCAUCCGGUUCCACUGAGGAGAGCUCCUUUUUACAGCACAUUACUAUACUUUCAGCUUUAUUCCAAGCACUUUCUGCAGCAGCCUUACACCGAUGUCAGAUUGCUGAACCAACCCUGGUAAACAACGACCUCUCAUCUGUGUAUCGCACCUUGAGACCGAACGCAGUGACUGAAACCAAGAAGAGAGAAUCAUUGAUGAGAGCAGACCAUUCUACAAAUGCUACUUAAAGCUUUUUCUCUACCACCACUACCCCAAACAAGAAUGCCUCUGCACCCCUGCUACAGAAACUCUGAAGCACCUUACUCUCUGGGUCAAGUCCAGAGGUCAAGGAAGGCCCCAUCCCUCUCAGAGAUCUGCAUAAUUCCAACCAGCAGCCCGUGUCAUGGGACUGGCUUACCUUCCGAGGGAUCUAAUCUCGUCAGUGGUUCUCUGCUACAGGGUCCCAGGGGUCUCCAAUUACUCACUUCACUUCUCUGGACCUCAGAUUUCUUCCCGGAGAAAUGAGAACCACUUGGUACAGAGGAUUAUCUUUCAAAGCUUGGAGUCCAUUGGUCCAGGUGACAUUGAAGUGGCUUCCAGAGGCAUCAUGCUAGCUAUGGUUAGUUAUCUAAGUGCAGUGGUAGUGUGGAGGCAAUUCGGAAGCACUCUACACAGCCUGGGGACCAAAGCCUGGUAGAAACGAGAGGAGCACAAAUACUAUGCUACUGUCUUUGCUGGCCUUCCCCAAGGCUGCCCACUUGGUAUCCUCAGACUGCCUGACCACUCAUCCCUGACAUAGACCAAGCAUCCUUGCCAUCUGAUCUGUCAUGUUGACAAUCCACUGUAUCUCACUGGCAUGGAGGCCCAGUGUCAUAGGUACCCCACGCUCAGGAGAGAAUAAGGGAGUACAAGAGCCAUGAAGCAAACAGGAGUACUAAAGAAUCAGGUCUGACUAAAAGCACCCAAAAAAUCCAACAAGGACAAGAACAAAGUCACUCACAGCUCAAAAGAACAAGCGGCAGGGGUAGACAACCCAAAGAGGAUGUAGCCGUGAGUCACCACACACCGUCCACUCUCUGUCACAGAGUUUAGAGCUCUGUGGCAGCAUCCCAUUUGCCUGGUCUGCAGUUGCAGGGUGUGUGCCUCAGCAGCUGGACUGGGGAAGAUGGUGGUGGAUACCUUCUGGCUGGCAUACGGUAUCUUACUUUCUUCCAGAAUUUGGUCUUGGCGUACUGUGACUGCUCUGUCAAGUCUCCAUUCCAUUGGAUGGCCCCAUGCUUCUGUCGGAUGUACUGAAUGGACUCAGGCAUGAUGCUAUAGUCCUUGAUUUUCUCCAGCUCAAUCAGAAUGACCUUCAUGCCAUCCUGGAUAAGGGCAUUGUAGACAGCGAUUUGUUCUUCUGACAUGUUCUUUAGAAAGCCGAAGCCGGAUGAUUCUGGUGCCACAAGGACAAUCAGUCUCCUACACAGUUUAAUGUUUUCAUCAAUGACGUUGGCCACAGCUGGAAUGGAGAAGAAAAAUUCAGAAGAUCAAUCAUAAAAAACAGCAAGGCUGUAACACUACCAGAAAUAGGAGAAAUGAGCACAGGAAAAGGAAAGGGACUUUCAAGUAGACAAGAUAGAGGCACAGGUGGAUUAACAUUCAUUACCAACUGUUCUGGGCAGGGUUUGUGCUCUGGUCCACUGGAGUCAUCAGUCACCUCUUGUUUGUGUCCUUUGGUGGUUACAUAUGUCCUGUUAUCUAUUGUUAUGUCUCUUUCCCCAAGACUGUUGGGCUGUAUUCCCACAGUAGCAGACAUCUUCAUGUAUGCUAUACAAUAAGCACAUUUUAAAACCUAUUUUUAAAGAGCAGGGAACCUUUCUUCAUAGUUCUUUAUAGUUAGUUAAAUGAUCAGGGUUAAUAUCACUAAUUUUGAAGCCAAAUAGCACACCAUGAUGGUUUCUUGGGGAGGGGAGAAAAAGGCCCAACAAAUGUUAACUCUACACGUUCUAUUUGGCCUAUGGUUGCCUCUUGUGAGGUGUAAGAAGACAGUGUCAUCUAUCUCUAAGGACAGGUUCUUUUUCAGUUCGCUUAUUUUUGUAUUUCUACUGUAUAAACAGCCCAUUAUCUAGAGAUAGCCAAUACAUAUUCUUUAAAUAACAUUGAAAAUACUUUUUCCCAGUGAGAAGAAAGGGGUGCUUAUUUCAGUAUUCAAUUACAAGGGGAGGGUUUGUUUAGGAUGAGCCCUGUGAUGGCAUUUACCCAGGCCAGUGUCUCAGACAUGCCAGGAAAACAUUCUCAUCCCUAUUUCAUCCAUGCAAACCCUGGUGUUCAUGAACUGCUCUAAACCACAUGCCUAAUAAACAGAAGUAAACAAGAAUUAUCCAUCUUAUUUAGACAGAGGAUGCUGUAUAUAUAGUUUUAAUAUGAAAUUUCCCCCACUGGGCUCUUCUGUUUGAACACUGGUGCCCAGAUGGUGGCAUUGUUUGGGAUGAUCAUAAACUUCAGGCUGUGGACCCUUAAUGGAGGAAGUAAGUCAUUGGGAGUAGGCUUGAAGGUUUUAUAGGCUGGCCCCACUUCUUGUUUUUCCUCUCUCUGUUUCCUAUGCAAGUGUGAAAUAUGAUCAGUUGGCUUCUUGACUGCCAGACUGGCCUCUCACUCCCACUGCCAUGCCUUCCUCACUGUGAUGGACUGUAAACCCGUUUACCACCUUUGGCAGGGUAUUUUUUAUCAUAGCCACAGACAAGUAUCUUAUACAAUGGAAGAGAUGCUAUAAAUUAUGGUUUAUAAAAUCUACUAUGGAUGUUAUUUUAAGUAGGUAAAGAUGUGUUACAUUGUUUAUGCUGGGGAAUAUUACCUGAACUGUGUAAAGAUGUGUUACAUUUGUU